rnacentral:rRNA from 1 species
ACAGUGGACGCGAGCAUCUGUGGCCAAGUUUUUAAGGGCGCACGGUGGAUGCCUUGGCACCAGGAACCGAUGAAGGACGUGGGAGGCCACGAUAGGCCCCGGGGAGUCGUCAACCAGGCUUUGAUCCGGGGGUGUCCGAAUGGGGAAACCCGGCAGUCGUCAUGGGCUGUCACCCGCUGCUGAACACAUAGGCAGUGUGGAGGGAACGCGGGGAAGUGAAACAUCUCAGUACCCGCAGGAAGAGAAAACAACCGUGAUUCCGGGAGUAGUGGCGAGCGAAACCGGAUGAGGCCAAACCGUAUACGUGUGAGACCCGGCAGGGGUUGCGUGUGCGGGGUUGUGGGAUCUCUCUUUUACGGUCUGCCGGCCGUGAGACGAGUCAGAAACCGUUGAUGUAGGCGAAGGACAUGCGAAAGGUCCGGCGUAGAGGGUAAGACCCCCGUAGUCGAAACGUCAACGGCUCGUUUGAGAGACACCCAAGUAGCACGGGGCCCGAGAAAUCCCGUGUGAAUCUGGCGGGACCACCCGCUAAGCCUAAAUAUUCCCUGGUGACCGAUAGCGGAUAGUACCGUGAGGGAAUGGUGAAAAGUACCGCGGGAGCGGAGUGAAAUAGUACCUGAAACCGUGUGCCUACAAGCCGUGGGAGCGUCGGACAUCAAGCUUGCUUGGUGUCUCGUGACUGCGUGCCUUUUGAAGAAUGAGCCUGCGAGUUUGCGGUGUGUUGCGAGGUUAACCCGAGUGGGGAAGCCGUAGCGAAAGCGAGUCCGAAUAGGGCGUUUUUAGUAGCACGCUCAAGACCCGAAGCGGAGUGAUCUAGCCAUGGGCAGGUUGAAGCGGCUGUAAGAGGUCGUGGAGGACCGAACCCACCAGGGUUGAAAACCUGGGGGAUGACCUGUGGUUAGGGGUGAAAGGCCAAUCAAACUCCGUGAUAGCUGGUUCUCCCCGAAAUGCAUUUAGGUGCAGCGUCGUGUGUUUCUUGCCGGAGGUAGAGCACUGGAUAGGCGAUGGGCCCUACCGGGUUACUGACCUUAGCCAAACUCCGAAUGCCGGUAAGUGAGAGCGCGGCAGUGAGACUGUGGGGGAUAAGCUCCAUGGUCGAGAGGGAAACAGCCCAGAGCAUCGACUAAGGCCCCUAAGCGUACGCUAAGUGGGAAAGGAUGUGGAGUCGCACAGACAACCAGGAGGUUGGCUUAGAAGCAGCCACCCUUGAAAGAGUGCGUAAUAGCUCACUGGUCUAGUGAUUCCGCGCCGACAAUGUAGCGGGGCUCAAGCGUACCGCCGAAGUCGUGUCAUUGCAGCAAUACGGCCAACGCCGGCUGUGAUGGGUAGGGGAGCGUCGUGUGCCGGGUGAAGCAGCCGCGGAAGCGAGUUGUGGACGGUUCACGAGUGAGAAUGCAGGCAUGAGUAGCGAUACAAACGUGAGAAACGUUUGCGCCGAUUGACUAAGGGUUCCUGGGUCAAGCUGAUCUGCCCAGGGUAAGUCGGGACCUAAGGCGAGGCCGACAGGCGUAGUCGAUGGAUAACCGGUUGAUAUUCCGGUACCCGCUGUGAAGCGUCAAACAUCGAGCAUCGUGAUGCUAAGGCCGUGAAGCCGCCCUGAUCUCUUCGGAGUUGAGGGGAGUGGUGGAGCCGCCGAACCAAGCGGUUAGUAGGUGAGUGAUGGGGUGACGCAGGAAGGUAGUCCAUCCCGGGCGGUGGUUGUCCCGGGGUAAGGGUGUAGGCCGUGCGAUAGGUAAAUCCGUCGUACAUGUGGCUGAGACCUGAUGCCGAGCCGAUUGUGGUGAAGUGGAUGAUCCUAUGCUGUCGAGAAAAGCCUCUAGCGAGUUUCAUGGCGGCCCGUACCCUAAACCGACUCAGGUGGUCAGGUAGAGAAUACCGAGGCGUUCGGGUGAACUAUGGUUAAGGAACUCGGCAAAAUGCCCCCGUAACUUCGGGAGAAGGGGGGCCACACCUGGUGACGAGUUUUGCACUCUGAGCUGGGGGUGGCCGCAGAGACCAGCGAGAAGCGACUGUUUACUAAAAACACAGGUCCGUGCGAAGCCGUAAGGCGAUGUAUACGGACUGACGCCUGCCCGGUGCUGGAACGUUAAGGGGACCGGUUAGUCACAUUUCGGUGUGGCGAAGCUGAGAACUUAAGCGCCAGUAAACGGCGGUGGUAACUAUAACCAUCCUAAGGUAGCGAAAUUCCUUGUCGGGUAAGUUCCGACCUGCACGAAUGGCGUAACGACUUCUCGACUGUCUCAACCAUAGGCCCGGUGAAAUUGCACUACGAGUAAAGAUGCUCGUUUCGCGCAGCAGGACGGAAAGACCCCGGGACCUUUACUACAGUUUGAUAUUGGUGUUCGGUUCGGCUUGUGUAGGAUAGCUGGGAGACUUUGAAGCUCGCACGCCAGUGUGGGUGGAGUCGUCGUUGAAAUACCAGUCUGGUCGUGCUGGAUGUCUAACCUGGGUCCGUGAUCCGGAUCAGGGACAGUGUCUGAUGGGUAGUUUAACUGGGGCGGUUGCCUCCUAAAGAGUAACGGAGGCGCCCAAAGGUUCCCUCAGCCUGGUUGGCAAUCAGGUGUUGAGUGUAAGUGCACAAGGGAGCUUGACUGUGAGACCGACGGGUCGAGCAGGGACGAAAGUCGGGACUAGUGAUCCGGCGGUGGCUUGUGGAAGCGCCGUCGCUCAACGGAUAAAAGGUACCCCGGGGAUAACAGGCUGAUCUUCCCCAAGAGUCCAUAUCGACGGGAUGGUUUGGCACCUCGAUGUCGGCUCGUCGCAUCCUGGGGCUGGAGUCGGUCCCAAGGGUUGGGCUGUUCGCCCAUUAAAGCGGUACGCGAGCUGGGUUUAGAACGUCGUGAGACAGUUCGGUCCCUAUCCGCUGUGCGCGUAGGAGUCUUGAGAAGGGCUGUCCCUAGUACGAGAGGACCGGGACGGACGAACCUCUGGUGUGCCAGUUGUCCUGCCAAGGGCAUGGCUGGUUGGCUACGUUCGGGAGGGAUAACCGCUGAAAGCAUCUAAGCGGGAAGCCUGCUUCGAGAUGAGGACUCCCACCCCCUUGAGGGGUUAAGGCUCCCAGUAGACGACUGGGUUGAUAGGCCGGAUCUGGAAGCACCGUGAGGUGUGGAGGUGACCGGUACUAAUAGGCCGAGGGCUUGUCCUCAGUUG